ensembl:lncRNA
UUUUGGGGCCGUUUCGGGCUAUUUUGUGGGGAUUUCAGUGGAUUUCGGGGCACGGAGAAGUUUCUUAAGGCGUUUCGAGGCCAUUUUGGGCGGGUUUCGAGGCUUUUAAGAUUGUUUUUAGCCGUUUUUAUUAAGGGGGGGAGGGGCAUCCUGAGGCCGUUCCAGAACCUUCGGGGCCGUUUUAACGCCGUUCCAGAAGGUUUCAAGAUCCCACGGCGUUUUGAGGCCGUUUUGGGGUCUUUUUUGGGGCCGUUCAGGGGGGUCUGGGGCUAUUUCGAGCCAUUUAAAAGCGGAAAUCGACCGUUUUAAGGCCGUUUCGCCCCCAUUUCGGGGGCAGCUCGGGGGAGAAAACAAACCCCCGAGCCCUCCCCCCCCGCAAUGGGGGCCGCCCAAUCAGGGGUAAAAAAGCGGGGCCGAGGGGUCGGAGAAGCCCCGCGCCCGCUCCCUCCGCCCUCCACCCGCCCACAGCUCUGUACUCACCUCUACCCCCGACCCCAGAAUGGCGGCGGGGCCGCGCGGGCGGCGCCUUUUAUACCCGGCCACGCCCCUUCUUCCUGAGCUAGACCACGCCCCCUCCCCCAAGCCACGCCCCUUCUUCCUUCAAGCCACGCCCCCUCCCCAUCCGCUCCUCCGCGCCCCGUCGCAGCCCCUCGCUCCCCCCGCCCCCACGUGCCGCACCACGACCGCUCCCCCCUCGCCCCCGAAAAGCCCUUUUUUCGCCCCAAAAAAGAGGUCGACGAACGCACUCACCGCCCGCCCUCACCGCGCCUGCGCGGCGGCCAUUUCGCCCCCUCCGCCCUUGAGGAGCCGCUGAACGACCUUGGGGCUCAGCGCGCAUGCGCUGGGCGGCGCUUCCUCCAGCUGCGCAUGCGCUUAGCUGAGGGCCCGCGAACCGCGCAUGCGCGCCCGCCGCCGGCCGCUGUCCCCUUCGCGUGUGGCGCAGUUUUAAUUCCCUCGGCGCAUGCGCCCGGCCGCCCGGCGACGUACAACAAAAUGGCGGCGCCCAGGCUCCGCCCGCCCCGGGGCGGGGCUGCGUGGGGCGGCAAGAUGGCGGCGGCCACGGGGUUGGCGGUGCUGAGGGCGGCGGUGGGGGGNAUUGUCACCAUGUCUGGUUGUUGCUGUCACCCCACCCGAUGUCCCCUGGGUGCCACCACCCCGUUACUGUCACCCCAUCCUAUUGUCACCAUGUCUGGUUGUUGCUGUCACCCCACCCGACGUCCCCAGCGUCCCCUGGCUACCGCCAUCCUGACAUUGUCACCCCAUCCUAUUGUCACCCCAUCCUAUUGUCACCGUGUCUGGUUGUUGGUGUCACCCCACCUGAUGUCCCCUGGCUACCGCCAUCCUGACAUUGUCACCCCAUCCUAUUGUCACCCUGUCUGGUUGUUGCCGUCACCCCACCCGAUGUCCCCUGGGUGCCACCACCCCGUUACUGUCACCCCGUUCUAUUCUCACCCCAUUCGAUUCUUGCUGUCACCCCGUCCAAUGUCCCCAGGCUGUUCCCAUUGUCCCUUGGGUACCGCCGUCCUGUUAUUGUCACCUUGUCCGGUUGUUGGUGUCACCAUCCCUGAUGUCCCCUGGGUACCACUCUCCUGAUAUUGUCCCCUCAUCCUCUUGUCACCCGGCUCCGUUGUCACC